CAGCUGAAAGUCUGUCAAUUUUGACAAUAAACCUGAUUUGCAAGGGGCGGGGGGGGGAGGUUGAAUAAUUUUGCUUACAACUAUAGAAAGUGGGCAGCAGUAGCCAAGGGCUUCUUUCAAGAGGAGGUGCAGGCCUGACCUCAAGCAGCAGUUACCUGCUUAUGGGCCAAGGGUGUUAAAUGUAGGGAAUGGAGCCUCCUCUCAGAGAUGAGUUUUUAAGCUAAAACGCCCCAAAUCUUGACUUCUUGAAGGAGGGGGAGAAAAAAAAAAGCACUGGAUAACUGUAAGCAUUUGCUGUUUGGUCAUCUAUUACUGUUUUGUAUUGUAUUGUUUAAAAACAUCAGGUACUUUCCUUCUUGUUCUUCUUACCCGAAAGUAAUAUCCGCCCUGACCUUGUGUGACCUUUUGUGUAUAGGAUGUCCCUUUCCUGAUCAGUGCAGGCGAAGAGGCGGCUGCUUUGGAAGCCGGGAUCGAAGGCAGUCCAGCCAGCAUUUUGGCUGAACCAUCGGCGUGGACAAGUUUCGUGGGUCUAGGAAUCCAUUUCCUACCUCCCAGCCUUCUCUGUGGGUGGCAUCGACCUCCCCACCCCACCCCCAAGAUGCAACUGUGGAUUGUGGCCUAUUUAAAAGACUGCCCCUCAACGCUUCUAGGACAAGCAUUUCAUCUUUCCCCACCUGUGGGAAAAUGUGUUUCGGGGUGUGGGGGGGAGAAGAUGGGAGCCUGAUAAGAGCUGGGAUGCCCGAGAACCUUUCUUUUCCCACGCCUGCUCUAGAUCACAGCCCUCACCUCUGUGUCUUUUCUCAGGUUAGUUUCUCAUUCCUCCCCAUCCCUGCACCAAGAUUUGUGGAAAGCGCGUGCGUAGACUAGAAAGGUUGAAAACUGCAUGUUCUUUUUGUCUAGUUCCUCUCUGGCCCCUUCCUCCUGUAGCGCUCCUGACAAUUGAGCCUGUGUCCACUGUUUCUCCUGGCAGCUCUCCCGCCUCUCUCUCGAGGUGAGACUUCCAAACCCACUUCGGAAGCCACUUUUUCUCACCUUCCAGUUUCACUGGCCUCUCACCGUCUCACUUCCUUGGUCCCUGGCCCUUCCUCCCCUUCUGUAGUGUCGACCAUAAGCGUUCAGGGUUGUCUACUCCACGUUGGCGUGUGGUGUGCUUCGAGUCCCGUCCGGCACUCGAGAAGGAGAUGGGAUAUGGCAGAGUUCAGGGAGGCCUCCACGGAGUCGGAGAAGCUUACCGUGCCCUCUGGCGGGUUGGCAUCGUUUUAAAAAGCACAGGAUGUCCGGAGCACUUAGCAGGUCGUGGCCAUGGCUCCUCGGAAAACCAGUCUCUCAGAUGGCCUCUGUAACUCAUUUUGAAGGGGAGCGAUGCUGGGGCAGGCAACGAAUGAUUAAACAUGAAUUGUGAAAUGAGAAGAGAUCCUCUGCGCGUUGUUGUUCUACCACCAGCCCCAUUUUUCUAGCCGAUGUGCUCGAGGCAGACUCUCUGCGGACCUCCUGCCUCUGCUUCCCACUCCAUACAGCCAAUGUGCUUUUACAGCUUUGCCCUGGACUCAGGGAAGAGAAAUAGAAGCAUGUUACUUUUUUAGGGGGGGGGUGUCUCCUCAUUCAAGGGCAAGGUAUACCUCUUUCUGCCCAGGAGCUGUGCUGUAGUGGUGAAUUGGAACCGAAGGCAAAUAGGGGCAGGGUUGUAGGUCAGGUCUACGAGCUUAUUUUAACUUGAAAUGAAAGGCUGCGAGAAGCUGAGCCUUCAAAGAGGCAUUUCUACAUUUUCGGAGGGGAGAUUGCAAGGGGGAAAAAAACCCUGGAAUACGGCCACAGGAGGGUGCCGUGGGGAGGGAGUUAAAAUUUAGACACACACAUCCUAGAGGCCUGGAUUUUAUCCUAGAACUUUCUAUCCCUGUUUUACAGCUUGCCAGUAAAAUCUCUCUAGUUACAGACCCAAACACACGCAGGUUGUUUUCCCGUGAUCAGGACUAUGUUACUACCUGUGACGUUCCUCUUUCCAGAAAAAAAUGGCAGUUCCUCCCUUAAAAUGUUCCUACUGUUUUGAACUGCGACCGGAAACCUGCCUUCUUGCAAACGGACCCCUUCCACUUGGGGCAAGCCUCCAAGCGGAAGCCCCGGGAACAUAGGGGAAAAUUUAAAUGACAUAAAGGAGGUUGUUUGCUCCCCCACACACUUCAGGGGAGGUCAAAGCCAGUUGUGCAUCCAUUGCUAAAAAGGCAUGCUACAAAAUAAGAGAGGGAUAGAUGGGCAUGAACCGGUUCACCCCUGUUCAUAAAGGUGGCAGCAUAGGUGCUGCUGCUCCCCUCCCUCACCACCUCUGGCUCAGUAAGCCACUCACCAGGUCCAGCGUGCCAGCUUCCAACAUUUCCUCAACUGAUCUUCCAGUCCUGACAGUAGCCCAGGCUUGGCUGAUCUCCCACUCAGGCGAAAGGGCAGGGCAGAGAAGCCUGGGCUCUUGCCCCUGACUGGGAGAUUAGCCCCGGAGAUGGGAAAAGGCCAUCAAGCUGCGCCUGGUGAGGGGCUCUUUGCGCCAGUGGAGGCAGGGGAAGGGAAUAUCAGCCCCUGUGCUGCCGCCUUCACGAACUGAGACGAACUGGUUCUUGCCCAUCUCUAGACAGGGGGCAUGUGCUGACAGGUGAGAACAGACAAAAGAAAUCGGAAAAAAUACUUUAGCUCAUGGGACGAAGACUGGGCUGGGAUGAGCUGUGUUUUUAUUAAAACUAGUGCAGGCCCUGCUGGAGAAAUCUCCCUUCUGUGUUUCUCUUGAGUCACCACAGUGACCUCAGAAUAAAAGCAUUCAUAUGACUUUC